rnacentral:rRNA from 1 species
AGUGAACGCUGGCGGCAGGCCUAACACAUGCAAGUCGAGCGGCAGCGCGUCCGACCACCCUCGGGUGGUCGGAUGGCGGCGAGCGGCGGACGGGUGAGGAAUGCAUCGGAAUCUGCCUCGUUGUGGGGGAUAACGUAGGGAAACUUACGCUAAUACCGCAUACGACCUACGGGUGAAAGUGGGGGACCUUCGGGCCUCACGCGAUGAGAUGAGCCGAUGCCGGAUUAGCUAGUUGGCGGGGUAAAGGGACCCGACCAACGGACGACGAUCCGUAGCUGGUCUGAGAGGAUGAUCAGCCACACUGGAACUGAGACACGGUCCAGACUCCUACGGGAGGCAGCAGUGGGGAAGUAUUAGACAAUGGGGGCGAACCCUGAUCCAGCCAUGCCGCGUGUGUGAAGAAGGCCUC